GACGAACGCUGGCGGCGUGCCUAAUACAUGCAAGUAGAACGCACAGUUUAUACCGUAGCUUGCUACACCAUAGACUGUGAGUUGCGAACGGGUGAGUAACGCGUAGGUAACCUGCCUGGUAGCGGGGGAUAACUAUUGGAAACGAUAGCUAAUACCGCAUAAUAUUGAUUAUUGCAUGAUAAUUAAUUGAAAGGUGCAAUUGCACCACUACCAGAUGGACCUGCGUUGUAUUAGCUAGUAGGUGAGGUAACGGCUCACCUAGGCGACGAUACAUAGCCGACCUGAGAGGGUGAUCGGCCAAGCUGGGACUGGGACACGGCCCAGACUCCUACGGGAGGGAGCAGUAGGGAAUCUUCGGCAAUGGACGAAAGUCUGACCGAGCAACGCCGCGUGAGUGAAGAAGGGUUUCGGGUCGUAAAGCUCUGUUGUAAGAGAAGAACGGGUGUGAGAGUGGAAAGUUCACACUGUGACGGUAUCUUAACAGAAAGGGACGGCUAACUACGUG
rnacentral:rRNA from 1 species